UACGUAGGGGGCAAGCGUUGUCCGGAAUCAUUGGGCGUAAAGCGCGUGUAGGCGGCUUGGUAAGUCUGCUCUGAAAGCCCGGGGCUCAACCCCGGGAGGCGGGUGGAUACUGUCAAGCUCGAGUCCGGAAGAGGAGUGUGGAAUUCCUGGUGUAGCGGUGAAAUGCGCAGAUAUCAGGAGGAAAACCAAUGGCGAAGGAGGGCUGCUGGGGAGUUUAGCUGACACUGAGGCGCGAAAGCGUGGGGAGCAAACAGG
rnacentral:rRNA from 1 species